rnacentral:rRNA from 1 species
AGGACGAACGCUGGCGGCGUGCUUAACACAUGCAAGUCGAGCGAGGCUCCUCCUUCGGGAGGAUGCCCUAGCGGCGAACGGGUGAGUAACACGUGGGCAACCUGCCCCUAGCACUGGGAUAACCCCGGGAAACCGGGGCUAAUACCGGAUACGACUUCGGAAGGCAUCUUCUGAAGUGGAAAAGGUUACUGGCUAGGGAUGGGCCCGCGGCCUAUCAGCUUGUUGGUGGGGUAAUGGCCCACCAAGGCGACGACGGGUAGCCGGCCUGAGAGGGCGACCGGCCACACUGGGACUGAGACACGGCCCAGACUCCUACGGGAGGCAGCAGUGGGGAAUAUUGCACAAUGGGCGAAAGCCUGAUGCAGCGACGCCGCGUGAGGGAUGACGGCCUUGGGUUGUAAACCUCUUUCAGCAGGGACGAAGCGAAAGUGACGGUACCUGCAGAAGAAGCACCGGCCAACUACGCGCCAGCAGCCGC